CCUACGGGAGGCUGCAGUAGGGAAUCUUCGGCAAUGGACGGAAGUCUGACCGAGCAACGCCGCGUGAGUGAAGAAGGUUUUCGGAUCGUAAAGCUCUGUUGUAAGAGAAGAACGAGUGUGAGAGUGGAAAGUUCACACUGUGACGGUAUCUUACCAGAAAGGGACGGCUAACUACGUGCCAGCAGCCGCGGUAAUACGUAGGUCCCGAGCGUUGUCCGGAUUUAUUGGGCGUAAAGCGAGCGCAGGCGGUUAGAUAAGUCUGAAGUUAAAGGCUGUGGCUUAACCAUAGUACGCUUUGGAAACUGUUUAACUUGAGUGCAAGAGGGGAGAGUGGAAUUCCAUGUGUAGCGGUGAAAUGCGUAGAUAUAUGGAGGAACACCGGUGGCGAAAGCGGCUCUCUGGCUUGUAACUGACGCUGAGGCUCGAAAGCGUGGGGAGCAAACAGGAUUAGAUACCCCAGUAGUC
rnacentral:rRNA from 1 species